rfam:Camelus ferus unplaced genomic scaffold scaffold904, whole genome shotgun sequence.
GAGAGCAUAGCUCAAGUGGUAGAGGGCAUGCUUAGCAUGCAUGAGGUCCUGGGUUGAAUCCCCAGUACCUCCU